CAAGCUGUCCCGAGCUGCUUGCGGGGACCGAGGAGCCGCCGCCNGNNUGGAANCUGUCCGCCGCUCUCCUGGGAGGCUCCGACUGGCAGAGACUGGGCUCCCCCGUGUCUGCCGACCGCCUNCCUGGNCGGCCNGGCGGUGUUAGCUGGCCGGGCACAGGGUCGGUGGNGAAUCGGUCGNCNCUCCACCCGACCCGUCUUGAAACACGGACCAAGGAGUCUAACAUGCGCGCGAGUCGUUGGGUGGUACGAAACCCGAAGGCGAAGUGAAAGCGAGGGCCCUGUCCACAGGGCUCAGGUGGGAUCCUCCGUUCGGAGGCGCACCACCGGCCCGUCUCGUUCGCGCCGUCGAGGAGGCGGAGCAAGAGCGUGCACGUUGGGACCCGAAAGAUGGUGAACUAUGCCUGAGCAGGAUGAAGCCAGAGGAAACUCUGGUGGAGGUGCGCAGCGAUUCUGACGUGCAAAUCGAUCGUCAAACUUGGGUAUA
rnacentral:rRNA from 1 species